UUUCUUUUGCGCCCUAGUCAAAGUUCGCAUUGGCCUAAUAUUUUGCUGCCAGCCAUGGUGCUUCUUUUGCUGCUUCUUAGUUUUCAGCAGAUCCUCAGCAACAGACUUCUCUUCACCAGGUCUUUCAGAACUCGUAGUCUUCAGCAGAUCCUCAGCAACAGACUCUUCUUCACCAGGUCUUUCAGAACUUUGAGUCUUCAGCAGAUCACCAGCAACAGACUCCUCUUCACCAGGCCUCUCGGAACUCUGAUGCACAACAGGAUCUUCCUUUGGUAAGUCUAAUUCGACUGAUGAGGAG
rnacentral:lncRNA from 1 species